ensembl:lncRNA
GGCCAGUCUGGACCAGCCCUGAGAUACGCUGCUCUAAGCUUGGACUGAGCUCCUCUCUCCUCCUUAUACCUGCUUAAUAUUUGCUCUAUUGACUUUGCUUCUUCUCUGCAGUCUCUGUGCUUUCUCUGUCCAGAGGUUUCUGUGGAUGGUGGUUAUAUGUGGACAGCGGUUGCUCCUGACGUGGACAUCCACUGCGACUCUCAUUAUCAGCAGAUGCAUCACUAUUCAUGACACCAUUACUGGACAUGGACAUGUGGGACGAGUGAUUCAGGAUUAUAACUGUAGUUUUUUUGUCAAUUUGGUUUGAUUUCUCAGGGCAGAUUUGCUUUCCUCUCUGUCUGAUGCUGAGAUCUGGUUCCAACAGUAUUGUCGGCCUCAGCGCCUCACAUCUCAAACACACCUGUACCUGUCUGGUGCUUACCUGUGGUGAGCCUCUGCUUGAUGCGAUGCCAGAUGGAAGCAUCCUGUGUCUUGCAGGGGAUUAAGCCAAAGUCAACAGAGAGCUGAGCUUUAAACAAACUGUGCUUUAAUAUGGG